GUCAGGAUGGCCGAGUGGUUAAGGCGUUGGACUUGUGUGUCGGUGGCACAAGGGUUAGAACUCUCGCCGACUAUGCACAUGGUCCGGGGUUCGAUCCCCUCCAGACG
rnacentral:tRNA from 1 species